UACGUAGGCAGCGAGCGUUGUUCGGAAUUACUGGGCGUAAAGAGUGUGUAGGCGGUGCUCCCAGUCUGUUGUGAAAUCUCCCGGCUUAACUGGGAGGGUGCAGCGGAAACUAGAGUGCUAGAGGGUGGGAGAGGUGAGCGGAAUUCCUGGUGUAGCGGUGAAAUGCGUAGAUAUCAGGAGGAACACCUGUGGUGUAGACAGCUUACUGGACCACUUCUGACGCUGAGACACGAAAGCGUGGGUAGCAAACAGG
rnacentral:rRNA from 1 species